rnacentral:tRNA from 1 species
GACCUUGUGCCGCAACGGUAGCGUGCCUGACUCCAGGUCAGAAAGUUGUGUGUUUGAAUCACGUUGAGGUCA